GACGAACGCUGGCGGCGUGCCUAAUACAUGCAAGUCGAACGAACUCUGGUAUUGAUUGGUGCUUGCAUCAUGAUUUACAUUUGAGUGAGUGGCGAACUGGUGAGUAACACGUGGGAAACCUGCCCAGAAGCGGGGGAUAACACCUGGAAACAGAUGCUAAUACCGCAUAACAACUUGGACCGCAUGGUCCGAGUUUGAAAGAUGGCUUCGGCUAUCACUUUUGGAUGGUCCCGCGGCGUAUUAGCUAGAUGGUGGGGUAACGGCUCACCAUGGCAAUGAUACGUAGCCGACCUGAGAGGGUAAUCGGCCACAUUGGGACUGAGACACGGCCCAAACUCCUACGGGAGGCAGCAGUAGGGAAUCUUCCACAAUGGACGAAAGUCUGAUGGAGCAACGCCGCGUGAGUGAAGAAGGGUUUCGGCUCGUAAAACUCUGUUGUUAAAGAAGAACAUAUCUGAGAGUAACUGUUCAGGUAUUGACGGUAUUUAACCAGAAAGCCACGGCUAACUACGUGCCUGCAGCCGCGGUAAUACGUAGGUGGCAAGCGUUGUCCGGAUUUAUUGGGCGUAAAGCGAGCGCAGGCGGUUUUUUAAGUCUGAUGUGAAAGCCUUCGGCUCAACCGAAGAAGUGCAUCGGAAACUGGGAAACUUGAGUGCAGAAGAGGACAGUGGAACUCCAUGUGUAGCGGUGAAAUGCGUAGAUAUAUGGAAGAACACCAGUGGCGAAGGCGGCUGUCUGGUCUGUAACUGACGCUGAGGCUCGAAAGUAUGGGUAGCAAACAGGAUUAGAUACCCUGGUAGUCCAUACCGUAAACGAUGAAUGCUAAGUGUUGGAGGGUUUCCGCCCUUCAGUGCUGCAGCUAACGCAUUAAGCAUUCCGCCUGGGGAGUACGGCCGCAAGGCUGAAACUCAAAGGAAUUGACGGGGGCCCGCACAAGCGGUGGAGCAUGUGGUUUAAUUCGAAGCUACGCGAAGAACCUUACCAGGUCUUGACAUACUAUGCAAAUCUAAGAGAUUAGACGUUCCCUUCGGGGACAUGGAUACAGGUGGUGCAUGGUUGUCGUCAGCUCGUGUCGUGAGAUGUUGGGUUAAGUCCCGCAACGAGCGCAACCCUUAUUAUCAGUUGCCAGCAUUAAGUUGGGCACUCUGGUGAGACUGCCGGUGACAAACCGGAGGAAGGUGGGGAUGACGUCAAAUCAUCAUGCCCCUUAUGACCUGGGCUACACACGUGCUACAAUGGAUGGUACAACGAGUUGCGAACUCGCGAGAGUAAGCUAAUCUCUUAAAGCCAUUCUCAGUUCGGAUUGUAGGCUGCAACUCGCCUACAUGAAGUCGGAAUCGCUAGUAAUCGCGGAUCAGCAUGCCGCGGUGAAUACGUUCCCGGGCCUUGUACACACCGCCCGUCACACCAUGAGAGUUUGUAACACCCAAAGUCGGUGGGGUAACCUUUUAGGAACCAGCCGCCUAAGGUGGGACAGAUGAUUAGGGUG
rnacentral:rRNA from 1 species